rnacentral:rRNA from 1 species
CCUACGGGAGGCAGCAGUAGGGAAUCUUUCACAAUGGGCGAAAGCCUGAUGGAGCAACGCCGCGUGCAGGAUGAAGGCCUUCGGGUUGUAAACUGCUUUUAUAAGCGAGAAAUAUGAUGGUAACUUAUGAAUAAGGAUCGGCUAACUACGUGCCAGCAGCCGCGGUCAUACGUAGGAUCCGAGCAUUAUCCGGAGUGACUGGGUGUAAAGAGUUGCGUAGGUGGCAUAAUAAGUAGCUAGUGAAAUCUGGUGGCUCAACCAUUCAGACUAUUAGCUAAACUGUUAAGCUCGAGACCGUUAGGGGUAACUGGAAUGUCUGGUGUAGGAGUGAAAUGCGUAGAUAUUAGAAAGAACACCAAUAGCGAAGGCAGGUUACUGGGACGGUUCUGACGCUAAGGCACGAAAGCGUAGGGAGCAAACGGGAUUAGAUACCCUUGUAGUC